rnacentral:lncRNA from 1 species
UAUAGUAAUCUUCAAAACAGCUCUACCAUCCCCCUAUUUUGAUUGUUUUUCAUGCAACCCAGUUAUAACGAUUAUCGGUUAUAACAAUAGAAUUUUCGUGGCACUUUAACAUUGUUAUGAGUGUGUUCUA